AGAUGAUGGAAAUGCUUAAAGCAAACUAAGGUAGUGUGAGACCACACCAUUUCUGCUAAGCCAAUAUUCUCUAGAAUGAGCACAAGCUAAACAAAUCGAAUAACAGCUUUUCUACAUCAACAUCAAGAAAGAAGAUGCUUGGAAGAGAUCAGAGUACAGAAAUGGACAUGAACAAGAGCGAAACAUCCACUUGUCAAAGCCCCUUGUCGAUCUAGAUGAGCAGAUAUGGGAGUGAUUUUUCUGGAAGGAGAUGUGAUUAUGGAUUAAACACCAGCUCACUGAAAACUAUCAUUGAAUAAGAUCAGACAACAUUCAUGAGAAACUACAUUCAGGAAAUAUUUCAAGGAAGAGAAAUAUAAAUGUGCUAGAAUUAACAUGUAAUAUAUAUAUAUAUAUAUGUACUGAGGUUUGUAAGCUGUCCUUUUUUUAAUCAAACUGAAAACAGAAAGCUUUAACCUUUCAACAUUAUUUUAAAAAAGGCGGUCAAUCCUAGAUCAUUCCUAUCUCAGUAGCCAAGAGGCUGAGCAAGCAUCAUUUAUUGAGGAAACAUCUUAGAAAAUGCCUCUGAAUAUCUUCUUAGGAGCUGUGACCUAGGUUCCCCCAUCUCUGCUGUUCAUUUAUUUCACUGUGUAAUUAGUUACAACCACUCAGUUAAGAGAUGUAAUACUUCAAACUUUUUACCGAGUCUGUGUUCCGUUUAACGUCUGUACAAGUUAUUACUGAGAAAGUGAUUCUGACAUAAACUAUUACUCCAUCAAGCUGUAUAUUACAGGAAGUACAUCUUUACAUCGUAGGUUCCCGAGCAACAUAGGCUUCCCUAUCUUUCAGGAAACAACAUCAAGGAUCUCUGAAAAAUACAGAAAGCUCAUUUUCACUUCCGAUGCUCACAUGUAAUAUAUAGGCUGCUAUCAAAUAAAUACUUUUUCUAAUUCUUCCUAGUAUAUGCAUAGGAAUUUAAUACACUUUAUAAAUAAGCAUUUAAAAUCUCUCCUGUUUUCAUUUCUAUUUCUUUGCAAUACAUGUCAUCAGAAAUCCAUAUUCUUUCUUUACCUGACUGACAGGCACUCAUUUUGUUAAAUAAAUAAAUAAAAAUCAUUCCAUUAAACCUAUUUCUAAUGAUAGUAAGUGGUACUAACUAAAUAAACAAUAAUUUAAUAGCCUUAGAAAUAAAUGAAUAUGUACUUAUACAGGUCAAAUAAACUUGGUAGGAGUAAGUUGCCUUUCGGUUUACUAACGUUGGUUUCAAAAUACUCAAAAUUUUGUAUUUGGUUGGCAUUUGAAAGUAGUUACAACUGAUCAGUUGUCUUCACCAAUCUUCAGCUUCCAGGCUCCCCUCACCCACUUCACUACAUAUCCUGCCAAUAUGCAACAACAGCAAAAAUUUAAUAUUGAAGUAGCCAAUUGCUUGAGAAUGAACACAAGCUAAACUGUACAUGCAGGGGUAAUCAGUGUAAGCCAAACCAUGUUCUAUACUUGAGCAGAAAACAUGCCUUCAUUUUUAGGCUCAAAAUUAAGAUUAAAUUAGCAUAUAUCACUGGAGCACUUAUGGAGGAUAACACAAAAAGUGAUACGGGCCAUGGUUGAUUUCUCUUACCCUCUCUCUAUUAGGGCCACACUUCUAUUCUUGCUAAAUGUUUUGCUAUUAGCCAUCUUUUCACCAUAAACAUGAUUAUGUUUCAAAUGGCUAAAAGUGUAUUACAGAUAUGCUCAAACGAGUAAAAUCCAAUUCACAAAGAUAAGGAUUUUCUAAAGAGCCAAAUUAAGGGAAUAUUUAUUAUCUCUAAAAUAUUAGCCCCUCUGGGAGUUAUUUGUUGCUUUAAAUAUUAGUGCUCCCACUACAUUUAAAACACCCUACUUACCAAAUUUAAUUACACACAACUUUUCAAGAAUUCAUCUUUUAUUUAAAGGGAGGUAUCUCUCUACUUUAUCUGCAAUAAAAAUAGGAGGUAUUGGCUUUCUCUUAUCCAUGUGAAUUACAGAUUUCAUUGAGUUUUACAUCACAAAUAGUGGUGUUUACAAAAAUGAAAAAGUGUUUCCUAUUCACAUGCAAAUGUUUUUUAACAGUUUUUCCAUUAUACCUAAGUGUAAUUUAAUUCAGCAUACCACAGUGCUCUGAAGAUGGGUCAUUGACGAUGUACCAUGUACAUAAGUAAUACACAUGUAUAUCACUAAAUGUUAAUUAAGUAUAAGAAGUAUGUUUUUAUCUUUUUUUUAAAAAAUAAAGUGACUCCCUUUCUCAUUCUGUUCUGUUGUAUUACGUCUAAAAGUUGUGUGUAAUUUUUUUAAGGUCCAGGAUUAGUAAAGAAAUUUGUUGGAAUAUCUGAAUUUCUGUAAAAAAUAAAAAUAAAAAUAAGAUUUUCUUAUUUUAAA